GGGAAAUUCCCUUAUUCCAGUGCCGUUUCCCACUGCUUCCUGCUGCUAUCCUGGAUUGUUAGAUAUCCCGUAGACUGUCCCCGGGACAGGUGAGGCUGCUGAUCCCUUAUUCUCAAAUCUGAAAGUUGACAGCUAUGGUAUUCUUGCAUCAGAAGCCCCAGAAGUAUACUUUGAAGGAAGACCCUCAAAUGCUUGAAACAUUAAGAACUGUUUGCAAAAAGCAACGCUACGUGUGCCUAAAGUCUCAUUGUGCUCUGUGGGGCUUCUCCUUGUGAAGUGUAUUCAAGCCACAGGCUGCAAUCAUCUUUCUACUUACCUGGGAGUAAGCUCCACUGAACUCAAUGGGAGUUACUUUUGAUUAGGUGUGUUACACAGCAGUAGCUUAAAACAAAUCUUCAAGCACGCUGUCAGUUCUAUUUAGGCAUGUGCAGUGUGCCGUUCAUUCAUUAGAUUCAGGCUCUGGACCUGGUUUCCUGUUAGUAUGGACACAAAUACAGUGGUACCUCUGGUUAAGAACUUAAUUCAUUCUGGAGGUCCAUUCUUAACCUGAAACUGUUCUUAACCUGAAGCACCACUUUAGCUAAUGGGCCUCCCACUGCCGCCGCACGAUUUCUAUUCUCAUCCUGAAGCAAAGUUCUUAACCCGAGGUACUAUUUCCGGGUUAGCAGAGUCUGUAACCUGAAGCAUCUGUAACCCGACGUACCACUGUAAUAAGCAGAAUCCUACAGGUGCCGUCACAAAAUCAGGUUUAUUUAUUUAGGCAUUAGAAUUGAUGGUUUUUAAUUUCACGUAACACAUAUCUAACUUUUAAAAACAACACAAUGCCUUGAUCUUUAACAUUUGUUCAGCACAUCUGCUUUUGACACACCUGCAUAAAAUAAUGGCAGUGCUUAAGAGUCCACAAAUCGUUCCACCCCAUAUUACGACUGCUAUUCUAAGAGGAGUAGGAAGUCUUAGAAAGUGGAGAAUGGUUUAAUGCACUUUUAUUGACAUAGUUUAUUCAACUUGUAUAGUUUUCCCAUAAGGGUGGGUCCCUCCUGGUUGCUAGGAGAAAUGUACGGAAAGCAACACAGAUGCCGGCUAACUGUGUUCCUAUGGUCCCCAGCAUCAGGUGUCAGCUGACCUUAAGUAUCCUUUACAGCUUCCAGCAACCUCCAGUCUGCUACCUCUGGUACGAAGUGGGGUCCUUUGUUAUCAAUGGCACAACACGCACAGCUGCUUCAGUGAUUGUUCAAAGAGGGACAGAUGGCAGCUCUCAAUACAAAAACGGGAUUUAAAAGAGAAAUGUGUGGGUGGGGUGGGGGGGACAGCAGUGGGAGUGACAGCACUACUUAGCUUGGAAUUUAUUUUGCUAGAUUUACGGAACUAGCAAUAGUGUUAAGAACAACAACAGCCAACAUCGGUGCGGCAGCUUUCCAAAGUCGGUUGUGUGAAGUUACUUGCUCUAUCUUGCAAUAUUAAGCAAGUGCUUUACUCUUCUGCUGAAAUCCACAAGUAUUUAACUUGCUUAGAUCACGCUGGCAUUAAUUCCUACUUGGUGGACUAUCAGGCUGAACAGCACUGUGUGUUCAAGGAUAGCAUCACUGAAAACAGGGUCUAUGGGUUCUGAACACAGGCAAGCAAAACGUUACUGGAAGGUUCCUUUUAUUAACCACCUCUUUAUUAUACCUUAGGGAUAAAUUUCUAUUCGUUCAGAAGGUGGGUGUAAUCCGAGGAAAUAGUUUACCCAAAAAAUCAUCCCUUUUAGUUCUUCCUACCCCCAAAUCAAGUUUAAAGAUCUGCUUGUCUGCAAGUGAGCAGACAAAUCUUUAUCCAAGGGCACCUCUCCUAUAUCUGCAGUUUUCAGGCUAAUUGCCCUCAAAACUCUAGGAAAGACUAGGUGAUUUCUUUCUUUUUUCAACUCACUCUAAUACUGUAAUCACGGGACACGGGUGGUGCUGUGGGUUAAACCACAGAGCCUAGGAUUUGCCGAUCAGAAGGUUGGCUGUUCGAAUUCCUGCGACGGGGUGAGCUCCCGUUGCUCGGUCCCUGCUCCUGCCAACCUAGCAGUUCAAAAGCAUGUCAAAGUGCAAGUAGAUAAAUAGGUACCGCUCCAGCGGGAAAGUAAACGGCAUUUCCAUGCACUGCUCUGGUUCGCCAGAAGCGGCUUAGUCAUGCUGGCCACAUGACCCGGAAGCUGUACGCCGGCUCCCUCGGCCAAUAAAGCGAGAUGAGCGCCGCAACCCCUGAGUCGGCCACGACUGGACCUAAUGGUCAGGGGUCCCUUUACCUUUAAUAAUGUAAUAGUUGCCCUUGCAGGAAAAUCACUGCAGCUAUCCUUUUAAAAAUUGGCAGGAUUUAGGCACUGAGAAGAGGAGGCCUUGUCUGCCAAUUUAAUCCAGUUCUGCUGGGGGGAAAAAAGUUAUAGAUGUCCUUAAAAUUAAACACAAAAGUCCUUGGACUAAUUUGCCUGUAGUUCAGCAUAUAUUAUCUAUUCUGGAGGGACCAGUAUUCCUGCAUAUUACAUCCACAACCAAAAACAUUCAGCCCUUUUUAGAUUUUCCAUCAACUACAGUGAGCCCUAACAGAAUUUGGGAUAUGACUUGGAGGUGAUUUAACAGAAGUAAUCAUUGAAGGAAACCAGGUCUCUUUCUUCUUUCCUUUCUUUUGGGUAUCUCAGUAUCCUGGAAAAGAGAUUUCAGUCGUGAAUUGGGGAGAGUGGGAGGAAAGGAAGCAGACUCAAGACACUGUGAGCUGAACUGGGCAGUCUAUGAAGUGUCUCAUACUGAGGCAGGCUGGUUUCAGAAGCUCCAAAAAUGUAGGUAAAAAAAACUGUGAGCACAGUAAAUAAUGCUGUGUGGAAACUGAGGUGGAAGCAAAACAUAAUAGCACAACUACAGAUGUCAUGAAAGAUAUUGAGAGGUAAACUUCAGAGAAAACAGUUCAUGGAGACGUUUUGGUGCUUAAAAUUUCCUGCUGCCACUGUCUCCUUUCUCUCUUAAGUUAGGAAUGACCCAGUAAAGACCUGCUCCCUCCCUCUUGCUGAGUCAGGAACUGGAAUCUCCCAACCACUCAUUCCCCAACCCUCAGAAGUUGCAUCAUCACAAUCAAUGUGAAAUCAGUUCUCCGGAAAUGAAAAGUCGGUCAAGGGAAAUGAGUCUAUAAGCAGCUGGAUGUUGUUUGCAAGGAACUGAACUGCUUAAUCUUCCACAUCUGAUGCUUAGAUUCCGAUUAAGCCAAAAUGGGAAAGAAACUUAUAGUUUAGUCAGGAGGCAUCAUAUAAGGCUUUUUACGGCAGGAUGGUCUGCUUUGGAAAUACAUGCAGUUUUGCUUGGCCGGCUUCCCAUUCUUUCAUUCUGAUUCUAUAGAUACGAGCUGUUUCAAUAUCACACAGGAGCGACUUGCAUGGGUGUAGUAAACAGUCGUAUCAUAUGCAAGGCAAAUUCACUAUGCUAAACUGUCAGUCACUUGUGAUUCCUGAUACUAAACAUAUCAAGUGUGUCACGCAGCAUUGGCACGUUACUAUUUAUUUAUGCUGCCCCUACAGCGUACACAGCGCCAUCAAUAACAAAGAGUUUAGUGGUUCUUUCAAGACAAAGAAAUUUAGGCUUCCUGCUCUUAAGAAGUUUAAUGGUGGAAACAGGAAAGCGAAAGCCAAGAACAGAGAGAGAAGAAAGUGGACAAAUGUCAUUAUAGUUGGGAAUAAAGACGACAGGCUGGUGGUGCCAGAGGCGCCAAGUUGAAUGUAUGACAUCACAUGUGUGAUGUCACAUGUGUGUGACAUCACACAUGUGAUGUCAUACAUGUCAAGAGGAGGCCAUGAGGCUUGGGGAGCCUCACCACCACUGCGGGAAGGCCCAGUGGGGCAUAACCCCUCAAGAUGGGGGUGAGGGUACAGCCCUGUCCCUGCAUACUUUGGGGUGGGGGCUGAACUGUCCUCAGUCCCAUAGAAUUGGCACCUAUGGGUGGCGCUCUGUAUAUGUUCUGGGAUGGAGUUCCUUUAACAGGAGGCGGCAAAGCAGAAUGGGCAAUAGUUGUUUGAGGAAUUCAAGAGAUCUUCCGUUGGAUGAGGACAGCAGCAAUUGCAGAGUAUAAUGGGAAGCAGCUUAAAAACAAAAGCUGAAAGAAGAGAUUGACGCAAGGCCACAGAUAGCUUUAGAAGGGACAUGGAGUUUGUGCUAGAUAUGGAAGGGUCUGAACAAGAAGCCCAUACAACAAGAGCUGUGUCUUAUUGGGGCUGAAAAGACUCUAGAACAGGGAUCACCAAUGUGGUGCUGACCGUUUGUCAUGAUGCCUGAGACUAAUGGGGGUUGGGGUCCAAUAUCUGGAGAGCCCCAUAUUGACUACCCUUUCUUUAGGAAGGGUAAACACCAGGUUUUCUCUUUUAUCCAAUCUAGAUGUUACAAGAGUCAGCAUUUUCCUUCCCCCCACAUAUCAUUUAAUAUAACUUGCUAUGUUAAUUCUGCCAGCCGCAUUCCAGCCUAGAUAAUGCCUGGACCUUUGUGUGUGCGCGCACUUGUGAUCAGAAGCGUACCACAUCGUGGGCAGAAUUUGCAUGGUGACAUUUAUAAGCAACAUGGUGGAAUAGGAAACACACCGCAGGGAUCUGGACCAGCUCUCCAAUAAUGUAAAGUGCUCUGACCAUUUGAAAUAGCACAGUAAUAUGCUAUUUUCAUUAUCGUUGCCCAGUUCUGUGUUGUGCUACAGGUCAUUACAAUGCAGCUACACAGCACUGGAGACUGGUGGCAGUGUUGGCGCAUCAACCUCUUUGCUGGUACUGGUAUGAUGUCCUGGGUUGCAGAACCUGGCUACAGGCUGCAGCAAUGUCCCCGUGCAAAAGCAGCUGUACUCUCUUUUAAAUACUUUUAUGUUAGUCCAGUGGUUCACAGCAUCAGGCAUUUUCAUGCUGAAUAAAUUGUUUUCAGAUGUGUCAUCUGCACAGUAGCGCACAGAGCUUUCAGUGGUCACAUUUGCACCAGACACUGGCUUAAGUUCUGCUGAGCUUCAAAUCUCAUACAUCCUCCGCCUUAUUCAGAAUAUAUUUGUGUUGCUUGUUUUAAAGAAGUAGGUUUUGGAACCGGAUGAAAUGCUUUGUCUGACAUCGACGCAUGAUUAAGAGCAGAGUUGUAUCGUGUGAGGUCCUGUGCAAAUUACAGCCAUUUGUGGUUUCAUUUUUGUUUCCCAAAGACUUUAGAAAGACAGACCUAAUCUAAACAUUACUAGAAAUGGGAAUCAUCACAGCCAUGCCCAGACUGCAGCCUGUGUCAGAUAUGGGUUCCAGCUGGAAUGCCGUAAACUCCCAGCUGUUACUGUUAGGGACAAAGCAUAUCACCCUUGGAGAGCAAAAGAGACAUACUUGCUACAGAAGACAUUAACAGAGGACUUAAACAGCAUGGAGGUGACACAGGCACCAUUCUGAACUGUGUUUAUACAAAUGAACCUACAUUCCAGUAAGUGGGACACUAAAAGGAGUUGCCUUUCAAUAAUACCCUUUCUCCAAAUAGACAGUAUUUAGAAAAUAGUGUAUUUCCACCCUACAAAUUCACCUAUGCACCUUUUAAGUAAAAUAAUUAAAAUGCAACGAUGAACUUUUGCAAUUACAAUGAUAAAUGUGUACCUUGAGCCACUGCAUUAAGGAGGACUUGAGUUAUGUAUCGUGUGCAGGGUUAAUUCUUGUGAGAUUUAGAGAUGUAAUUUAUCAAACUCUUAAAUCCAUGAUUUAUAUUAAGAGGCUGGAUGCUGACCUGUUAUGGCAGCUAAAUGGUGUAACUCAACACAAGGGAAUUGCUAUCUUGUUUAUAAUGAGUGAUAUUUAGCCACAUUCCACUCAUAGCAAGCAGAGCAACUGAAAUUAAUGGAUCUUAGUCCUGUUCAUUAAUUUCAAUGUGUCUGAGUAAAAUGUAGUUGAAUGCCCCUCCCCAUUUCCAUACUGUGUUUUAAUUUAAUUUAUAUAACAUUUUUGCACAUACCUCUGAGAUCAGAUUUUUUAAAAGAAAUGUAAGAAUUGAAAUGGCAAAAAGUGCCAAGUCAGCAGCUUUGCUUUAUUUGAAAUGAGGAAAGAUCACACUGACUACUUUCCUGAAAUCAACAGUUGUUAUGGUGUUCCCCCACCCCAUUGGGCUAAUGAAAUGGGCCUUAUGCAAAGCUCAAAAGAUCUGAGCUGCUUUACACCCAAGAGGGCAGUAAACGUUGCCUUUCAAGGGGAAAAAAGGGUUCCAGAUGGAAGGGUACAUCUUCUUAGAGGCCAGGUUUUGCCGAGUCAGACGAGCGCUUAAAAGAAAAUCGGCUCAAAAGAGCCUUAGAGAUCAAACAGGGACAAACAAAGUGAUCAGCUCACUCAUUUAAUACAAAACAAUGCACUGGAAAUUUAUGUUCCAGGUUCAAAGAAGUGCUGAAAUUUCCAUAGUCAGCGAAGCAGAAAAGUGUAAAUCAAGAGUCCUUUCGGGACCUGGAUAAUAUCAAAGACAGCCCAACUUUUUUCAAUCCUAUUUGUUAUUAACUGGAGCUUGUUUGGCUGCAACUCUAUUAGUUAGCUUGGAAUUUGAACAUAGCGAGGUCUACUUUACUCCUUCUCCAGUCCUGUAUUAUCUCUCAGCUCAAUUUCCCCAUAUGCAUAAUGGGUCUGCUAAUGAACAGGCAUGAGCAAAGGCCGUACAGCACUUUCACAUCAAAAGUUCAGAUUUUGAAAUAGAUAAACCAAGCACCCUGACACUGAAGGGAGCAGGGAGCAUCGGUAUGUACUGAGUUCUGUGCGUACACAGGAAUCGCUCGAUUUCCCAAACAGUGCAGAAAAUGUCAUCACCCUUGCACUUUGGUUUAUGAAGGCAUAUUAGUUGGAUAGUGAGUGGUGAUUAAAGGGAAAGAGGUGGCUGGAAUCAGUCUGAUCUGUUUCCUAAGGAGGCACAGUACAGUCGUACCUUGGAUCCUGAACGCCUUGCAAGUUGAAUGUUUUGACUCCUGAACGCCACAAACCCGGAAGUGAGUGUUCCGGUUUGCGAACGUUCUUUGGAACCCGAAUGUCUAACGGAGCUUCUGCAGCUUCCGAUUGGCUGCAGGAGCUUCCUGCAGCCAAUCAAAAGCCACACUUUGAUUUCCGAAUGUUUUGGAAGUCGAACAGACUUCUGGAACGGAUUCCGUUCGACUUCCAAGGUAUGACUGCAAUUGGCAUUUCAUGCCUGGUAUGUGGUCUUUUUCUACAAAGGGGCACUAUUAUGCGGUCCUGGAUUCUGGAUCUGUACCCUACACCCCCAGAGUGGUGAACAACAUAUUAAAGCCAAUAUACAAUAGAGAACCAUAAAAUGCAAUGUAAGGAGGGCCCAAUUCAGAGAACAAUCUGUACUCGGAAGCAGCUUAGAAACUGAGCAUUAAGGUACGCCGAUUUCUCUUCACCUCAAUACACGAUUCCAACCUGAAAUGGAAGGUAGUAGUUACAUCUAAUUUUCCAUAUGCAUCUCCACGAGAAGUGCGGGUGACUCUUCUGAAAGCCACUGUGAUAAAAGGAUGAAUAAAAAUAAUUUUUAAGAACCUAAUAAAGCAAGACGAUUUAUUUUCACCACUUAAAAGCAAGACUUACAAACACCGAAGUGAGGAAAGUACUGAAUCAACACAGGCGUUGCUUAGAAAUAUACCACCAGCAGCAUUAAAGUAGGGUAUAACAUUUCCCAACCAAUUUAUUUUCUCAUGGUUUUCACAACAUGCAAAUGUGAUGUGUGUAUAAUCCUGUGUAAGGCUGAACAGACUGUGGCUCCUGGCUUAUGGGAAUGGUAUUUAAAUUCAAAACAUCCCCAUCAUACACAAACCUACAGUUGGUCCAACCACCUGGUUUUGGACAGUCUCUGAGACAGUGAAAUCUUGACAACAAUAGCAACUCAUUUUCCUUUCUUGUUUUCCUCCAGCUGAUUUGCAGAGUAGAAUCUUAUUUGCCAGCAUAUUUUAGGUGGCUUUACUUCUAUCCAUCAUUUCUUUAAAACUUUUACUAUUACUCUCUUCACCUCCAAGCAAUUUUUAAAAAUCCAAAAUGAUUUAAUGAGGGCCCACUCCCUGCAAUUGCUGUUACAAGAGGGAUACCCAAUGUGAUAAAUGAUAGAUGCGGAUGGACAAAAUUUCCAUCAUCCCUGAAUACUGGGGCAGGCUGACUGGGGCUGAAAGGAGAUGGAGUCCAACAAUGGCUACCCUUGUGCUAGUACAACCGGAGGCCUGCCGCUGCUAAAUAACUUAGUAUUAUUAUUUAUAUAUAUCAUAUACAUCCCACCCACCCCGCAACACAGGUGUAAAUGAUUCUCCCCCUCCUCAUUUAAUCCCCACAACAACCCUGUGAGGUUGGUUAGGCUGAGAGGCAGUGACUGGCCCAGGGUCACCCAGUGAGCUUAGUAGCCAAAUGGGAAUCUGAACCCUGGUCUCCCAAGUUCUAGUCUGAUGCUCUAACCACUACACCACCACUAGAACAUGCCCUUAAAAACCAUGAAGUGAAUUCCCAUCCAAGCUUCUAAGCCAUACCUAAGCAUAGCAAGACCUCCAUCCACUGCCCACAGAUCAUAGAGUUGGAAGGAACCAGGAGGGUCAUCUUGUCAAAUCUCCUGCCAUGUAGGAAUCUUUCACCCAACGUGAGGCUCGAACCCACAACCCACAAUCAAGAGUCUUGUGCUCUACUGACUGAGAUAAUGUGAGUGAAGGGCCAAUGGAAGUCUUCGAUAGUGGUGUGACUGCUAGUAAAACAAAAAGUCUUGUCGCUGGAUACCUGAAUGACUCUAGCCCUUUCCAUUCAGUGCAUUCUAACAGGGCCGGCCCAUCCAUGAGGCAGGAUGAGCCAGCUACCUUGGGCGGCAGAAGCCCAAGAGGCGGCGCCCGGCGGACUCCGACGCCAGCAAGAUCUCGAUGGAAGACAGCGCUGCUGCCACUGCUUCAUGACCUCCGCUGCACAACCCAGGUAAGGGAGGCUUCAGUGAGGACGGCAUGUUCCUGUUUUGCCUCAGGUGGCAAAACGAGACUUGCAAUCUAAGCAUUAAGAGGAAGUGUGGAAAAUGGGAAAACUGAACCCACACUCUAUGCCCCCAAGCCAGUGGAGACUAGUCCAUUACGGCAAGCAGGGCAAUGCCCUACCAACGUCCAUCAGCCCCUGCCUGCCAUCUAAAUUGCAACCAGUUCAGGGGCUGGCACUGGCUGCCCAAUUCCUCUUCCUUAGACUGAGCGCAGCUACUGUGGAACUUAGCUGGGGGUCAAACUAGAAUUAGUUAGCUCUGUCUGUCAUUGGCUCCACCUGCUGUUUGGUCUCUGUGUCUUCCGUCCUACCAGCCAUCACUGCCCCAGCAUAAGAAAAGGUUCCUACAUGUGCACAGCUGCACAUGUGUAGGGGCCCUUUUCUCAUGUUCAGCAGAACAUGCGUAAAUGGGUAGCAGGGGAAAGACCUGCUCCACACUUCAAUGAAUGCAUGGCGCAGAAAAGUGUAAAAGAUUUGUAAAUACAAGGGAGAGAGCUUCUCUUUCCUCUUCUUGAGCGAAGGCACUUUUACUAACACACACACACACACACACACACACACACACACACACACGGAAAGCAUUCCUUAAGGUUAUAGAAUUAACCAUUAAACCCUUAACUAUGGCUGUGUAUAAUCUCCACAUAAUAACAACAUAAAAUAAUUCUGAAUUGUGUUAACCCAGCAUGCUGAUUUUACGUGUGGGGCGACAGCUUUAUGUGGAUUGCAGAAAAUUAAACACAAAAAAAGGGGGAGAGCAAGAACCUCAUCCUGCUGGAAGGGCUAUCCAAGAUCUUGCGAGAUCUUGUGGGAGCCCUUAUGCCACCAUCCCAGAUCCGGAAAAGCAAUGCGGCGGGCUUUUAAAGAUCUUUUUACACUGUGUUUUCCUGCUGCUGAAAUAGCUUUUUAAGCCCCCUGGCCUUUCUUACUGGGGUCAUGCGAGGUCUCUGGAGAGGCUCCUGUGACAUCUCUCAAGAUCCUUGCUGGGCCUUCCAGAAGCCCCACAUGACCUUCCCAGAGUCUGAUAAGCAAGGUGGGAGGCUUAAACAGCUCCCCACUUUGUGUGGGGGGCAAGGCCUGCUCAGCACCCUCUCAGGCAAG